AUGUUACAUUACCCCCCCUCCUUUCUAUUUUUUUUUAACACAAGUUUAAAUGAAUGUAAAACAACCUUUAAAUUAUAAAAAUAACUUUUAACAAUGGAUCUCUAGGCUCUCACAUCGAUGAAGAACACAGUGAAAUGUGAUAAGUAAUGUGAAUUGCAGAAUUCAGUGAAUCAUCGAAUCUUUGAACGCAUCUUGCGCCUUUUGGUAUUCCAAAAGGCACACCUGUUUGAGUGUCAUGAAACCCUCUCAUUCAACAAUUUUUUCCUUAUAAAAAGAUUGUUG
rnacentral:rRNA from 1 species